ACUAUGCCUCAAUAAAAAAAAAAUACGUGCUGUUUAUUGCAUGUCAACUAGACAUUAUGUCUUAAUUAAGCUAUUUUUAAUGAAGCAGUCUCAGUGGUUUAGUUCUAAACGGCAGUCUCUCCAAGUGUCCUGGGCCUGGUGUACCUCCAGCUCCAUCCUGUCCGUGGCUGUCCACGAGGACCCUGAUGGUUGAGAGGGGCUCCCCCCUCGCUCGCCUCCUCUCAGGCCAUACUCCACAUCACUUGCUUUCCUGAAGCUCACACCGGCCUUUCUGUCCCUCACACAGAUCCAGUUUCUUCCUCCCCCAGGGAGGAUGUGGCCCCCAGCAUGCCGUAUCCUCACCUCCUCCUCCUGCUCCAGGUCUCUGUGUCAUCUCUGUGCUUGGUGGAAUUCUAAAAAUGCCUUUCCCCCUUCUAUGUCCUAAUCCCUGGAAACUGUGAACACGAAGAGACCUCUGAUCACUCCUGCGGCUAGGUGAUGCAGUAUGACAAAGUUGGCCUUAAGAUGGGAAGUCACGAGCCCUGAAAAGCAGACAGUUUUCUCCAGCUGGUGGCAGAAGGAGAAGUCGAGGGACACAAGAUGUGAGAAAAAUCAGACACUGCGGUUGCUUUGAAGAUGGAAGGGCCACACAGGAAGGAAUGUGGGUGACCCCAAGUUGCUGAGGCCACGUGAGGACACAGCGAGAAGACAGCUGUCUAAGAACCAGGAAGCGGCCUCUCACCAGACACUGAAUCAGCUGACAACUUGAUCUUGAACUUCCCAGUUUCCAGAAUCCUGAGUAAUAAAUGGUGCCUGGUCUGUGGUAUUCUGUGACGGCAGCUUGAGCAGACUAAGACAGUCCUACAGCUGCAAGAAACUGGAUUCUGUGAACAACUGGGAUGAAGUUGGAAGAGGAUUCUUUCUGAGAGCUUCCAGAACGUAGCCCAUGAAGGGGAAGACGUUGUCUCUUCUGCUCACCUGUGGAUCCAGAGCAUCCGGGCCUGACCUGAAACGAGUGCUUGAUUUGUGUCUGUGGAUGGACAAAUGAUCCUUGAAGAUGGUGCAGCCUGACCACCAAGGAAAUUCCAACGCUCCUCGGCUCCCUUCUUUCUAAGGUGUAAUUAUAAUGUGCUAAUUUGAAUUAGAAGACCUCUCAGUAAAAG